rnacentral:rRNA from 1 species
CAGUCAAGAUGUGCCCAGAAAUGGAUCUUGAAGGCCGAUGCGAACACGGCCUACUUCCAGGCCAUAGCGAAUGGUCGCCGCAGACGCAAUACCAUCCCCCUCCUUUGGGAUGGCGCAACACUGCUGCAGUCCCCCUGCGACAUUAGAGCCCAUGUCGGUGGAUUCUAUAGGUCCCUUUUCUCAGCCGCUCCUCGGAGCGGCUUAUCUCUGGCCCAUGACUGCUGGUCCGGCCACCAGCGAGUCUCCGAUGCGAAGAACGCGGCCCUUACGGCCCCCUUCUCCGAGGGCGAGGUCUGGGCCGCCAUUAGCGGCAUGAAUCCCACCUCGGCCACGAGCCCUGAUGGCCUCCCGAUGAAAUUCUUCCAGACAUUCUGGAAUGUGAUCAAACCUGAGAUCAUGGCCAUCUUUGACGAGUUCUAUGUUGGGUCCAUCGACCUCGUGCGCCUCUACUACGGGAUCAUUUCGCUCAUCCCAAAGGUUCCUGGGGCAGCCGACAUCCACCAGUUUCGUCCGAUCACGGUGAUUAAUGUGAUCUUACGGAUUAUGGCAAAAGGUUACGCCAAUAGGGUGACCCUUCUUGCUGAUCUCAUUACCCACCCCAACAAAUCCACCUUCAUUCAAGGACGGUACAUUCUGGAUGGGGUGCUAGUCCUUCAUGAAGUCCUGCACGAGGUCUGAUCCAAACACCUCAAGGCGGUCUUCCUGAAGAUGAUUUCCACAAGGCGUACAACACUGUUAGCUGGCCCUUCCUUCGGGAAGUUUUUCUCCGGAAAGGCUUCGACGAGCGAUGGAUCACCAGAGUGA